UACGUAGGGUGCAAGCGUUAAUCGGAAUUACUGGGCGUAAAGCGUGCGCAGGCGGUUUUGUAAGUCUGAUGUGAAAUCCCCGGGCUCAACCUGGGAAUUGCAUUGGAGACUGCAAGGCUAGAAUCUGGCAGAGGGGGGUAGUAUUCCACGUGUAGCAGUGAAAUGCGUAGAGAUGUGGAGGAACACCGAUGGCGAAGGCAGCCCCCUGGGUCAAGAUUGACGCUCAUGCACGAAAGCGUGGGGAGCAAACAGG
rnacentral:rRNA from 1 species